CACGUAGGGGGCAAGCGUUGUUCGGAAUCACUGGGCGUAAAGCGCACGUAGGCGGAUGUGCCAGUCAGGGGUGAAAUCCCGGAGCUCAACUUCGGAACUGCCUCUGAUACAGCACGUCUUGAGUCCGGAAGAGGUGGGUGGAAUUCCUAGUGUAGAGGUGAAAUUCGUAGAUAUUAGGAAGAACACCGGUGGCGAAGGCGGCCCACUGGUCCGGUACUGACGCUGAGGUGCGAAAGCGUGGGGAGCAAACAGG
rnacentral:rRNA from 1 species